rnacentral:rRNA from 1 species
ACCCGGGGCAGAACAACAGGGUAUUGCCCUAGUAACGGCGAGUGAAGCGGCAACAGCUCAAAUUUGAAAUCUGGCUUCGGCCCGAGUUGUAAUUUGCAGAGGAUGUUUCUGGCGCGGUGCCUUCCGAGUUCCCUGGAACGGGACGCCAUAGAGGGUGAGAGCCCCGUAUGGUUGGAUACUAAGCCUGUGUGAAACUCCUUCGACGAGUCGAGUAGUUUGGGAAUGCUGCUCAAAAUGGGAGGUAAAUCUCUUCUAAAGCUAAAUAUUGGCCAGAGACCGAUAGCGCACAAGUAGAGUGAUCGAAAGAUGAAAAGCACCUUGAAAAGGGGGUUAAACAGUACGUGAAAUUGUUGAAAGGGAAGCGCUCAUGACCAGACUUGUGCUGGGCAGCUCAUCCGGGGUUCUCCCCGGUGCACUCUGCCCAGUUCAGGCCAGCAUCGAUUUUUGCUGGGGGAUAAGAACGGUAGGAACGUGGCCCUCCUUCGGGUGGGUGUUAUAGCCUGCCGUACGAUACCCUGGCGGAGAUCGAGGUUCGCGCAUCUGCAAGGAUGCUGGCGUAAUGGUCAUCAGCGACCCGUCUUGAAACACGGACCAAGGAGUCGUCCAUUAGAGCGAGCGUUUGGGUGUAAAACCCGCACGCGUAAUGAAAGUGAAAUUAGGUGAGAGCUUCGGCGCAUCAUCGACCGAUCCUGAUGUUCUCGGAAGGAUUUGAGUAAGAGUUUUAACGGACGGACCCGAAAGACAGUGAACUAUGCUUGUAUAGGGUGAAGCCAGAGGAAACUCUGGUGGAGGCUCGCAGCGGUUCUGACGUGCAAAUCGAUCGUCAAAUAUGAGCAUGGGGGCGAAAGACUAAUCGAACGUAUCAGGCUUU